AGUGAACGCUGGCGGUAGGCCUAACACAUGCAAGUCGAACGGCAGCACAGUAAGAGCUUGCUCUUACGGGUGGCGAGUGGCGGACGGGUGAGGAAUACAUCGGAAUCUACUUUUUCGUGGGGGAUAACGUAGGGAAACUUACGCUAAUACCGCAUACGACCUACGGGUGAAAGCAGGGGAGCUUCGGACCUUGCGCGAUUGAAUGAGCCGAUGUCGGAUUAGCUAGUUGGCGGGGUAAAGGCCCACCAAGGCGACGAUCCGUAGCUGGUCUGAGAGGAUGAUCAGCCACACUGGAACUGAGACGCGGUCCAGACUCCUACGGGAGGCAGCAGUGGGGAAUAUUGGACAAUGGGCGCAAGCCUGAUCCAGCCAUACCGCGUGGGUGAAGAAGGCCUUCGGGUUGUAAAGCCCUUUUGUUGGGAAAGACAAGCAGCAGGUUAAUACCCCGCUGUUCUGACGGUACCCAAAGAAUAAGCACCGGCUAACUUCGUG
rnacentral:rRNA from 1 species